GGAGUGGAUAGUUGAGUAGAUAACUGAGGGCCGAUCAAUCAACUGCGAAGAUCUCAGUUUAAUUUGAUCAACUGGAACUGCAGUGGUCGCCGAAGAGUGGGCGGUGAGUGAAGUGUGCUCUAAGUUGAGCGUGUUCGAGGCACGAUGAGUUGAGCGUUGUGCUCUGGGCAAUGAACGAGGAAGCGUCGUGAUACCAGGUGCUUGUUAAGCGAGCUUUGCUGGUCAGCGGAGUUCUUGUCAGCGGCAUUUUUUGCAGCGGUGAAGCUAGUGGUUUGGCGGAGCGGGACUUUGCUGAGGUGCUACUGAGCGGAGCUUUAGCCAUUGGUGGCUGCUAGCGGAGGAUUACUAGCGGUUGGCUGGGUUUUGCUCAGCCGAGGAAUUUUGGCUAGCGGAGCGGAGGCCGGCUAGCAGAGAUGGUCAGCGGUGGUGAAGUUCGGCGGUGACCACUCCGGCUGUGAAGUUCGGCGGAGAAGCUCAGCGAAGGCUGCUUACUUGGUCAGCGGAGGUUUGAAACUCAGAAGCCUGCUUUGCCGCUGACUGGAACUUAGCUUCUCCGCUGACAGAGAUGAGCGGAAAAGUGCCGCUGACUGGAGCUUUUCCACUGACGCUGACUGAAGAUGAGGAGCUGACUGAAGUCAGGCUCUUCCGCUGACGGAUACGAGCGGAAAAAGUGCCGCGGAGUGGCGGUACCGCUGGCAGAAGUUUGGCUGUGAAUUAAUGGUCAGUGGAGGUCGUUGUCGUUGAUGGCUAGCGGUGGUGUGUAGCGUUGGAGCUUGCUAGCGGAGGUGGAACUUUGGGCAGCAGAGGGUGGCUAGCAGGUUGGUGGAGCCCUCUCCAGCGGAGCGGAGCUAUUUUGCCGGUGGUGCUGGUGCUUGACGAAGAGGAUGAUUGUUGAUCGUGGGUGCCCAUAUCAAUUGCAGUUUGUUUUGUGGCCGGCGGCGAAGCUUGCUGGUUUUGCCAGUAAAGCUUUGGCGGUGCCUAGCGGAGUUUUACCCGCUGAAGAAGUGUGGCGGAGCGGAGCUCUGUGCUCACCUGGAGCUCGAAGGAGAUUCGAUGCUAGCUCAGCGGCGGAUCGAAGUUCGGCGGAAGACUCGGAGCUCAGCGGGUGAGAAGUUCGGCGGAGCGUAGCAAAGUUCAGCGGAGGAGCUCGGCGCUGCUGGUGUUUUAGCGGUGCCAUGACUGGGGUUGGGGCGUUCAGCGGUGCCGCUGACAGAAGUUGGCGGUGCAAGUUUUGUGUUGCCGUUGAACCAGUGUGACGGAGCCGCUGAUGAUGAGUGAAGAAUGGCCAUGGGUGCCUAGAGAAAUUCUCUGGGUGUCCAGAGAAAUUAGGCUCCCUCUUUUUUUUUUGAAUAGUGCAGCGGUGACUGAGUGAAUAGUUCAGCG
rnacentral:lncRNA from 1 species